AGGCGUAUAGCUCAGUUGGUAGAGCGGUGGCCUUACAAGCCGAUGGUCAACGGUUCGAGUCCGUUUUCGCCUA
rnacentral:tRNA from 1 species